rnacentral:tRNA from 1 species
GUCUCUGUAGUGUAGUGGUCAACAUAGGAGCUCCUCAUAGGCGCGUGGGUUCGAAUCCCGCCUAAGCCG